rnacentral:rRNA from 1 species
GAUGAACGCUGGCGGCGUGCCUAAUACAUGCAAGUCGAACGAAACUUCUUUAUCACCGAGUGCUUGCACUCACCGAUAAAGAGUUGAGUGGCGAACGGGUGAGUAACACGUGGGCAACCUGCCCAAAAGAGGGGGAUAACACUUGGAAACAGGUGCUAAUACCGCAUAACCAUAGUUACCGCAUGGUAACUAUGUAAAAGGUGGCUAUACUACCGCUUUUGGAUGGGCCCGCGGCGCAUUAGCUAGUUGGUAGGGUAAAGGCUUACCAAGGCAAUGAUGCGUAGCCGAAUUGAGAGGUUGAUCGGCCACAUUGGGACUGAGACACGGCCCAAACUCCUACGGGAGGCAGCAGUAGGGAAAUCUUCCACAAUGGGCGAAAGCCUGAUGGAGCAACGCCGCGUGGGUGAAGAAGGUCUUCGGAUCGUAAAACCCUGUUGUUAGAGAAGAAAGUGCGUGAGAGUAACUGUUCACGUUUCGACGGUAUCUAACCAGAAAGCCACUGCUAACUACGUG